rnacentral:rRNA from 1 species
GACGAACGCUGGCGGCGUGCUUAACACAUGCAAGUCGAACGGUGAAGCGCCUUCCUUUUUGGUGGGUGUGGAUGAGUGGCGAACGGGUGAGUAACACGUGAGUAACCUGCCCCCUUCUUCUGGAUAACCGCAUGAAAGUGUGGCUAAUACGGGAUAUUCUGGGUCUGUCGCAUGAUGGGUCUGGGAAAGAUAUUGUUUCGGUGGGGGAUGGGCUCGCGGCCUAUCAGCUUGUUGGUGGGGUGAUGGCCUACCAAGGCGGUGACGGGUAGCCGGCCUGAGAGGGGUGACGGGCACACUUGGACUGAGACACGGCCCAGACUCCUACGGGAGGCAGCAGUGGGGAAUAUUGCACAAUGGGCGCAAGCCUGAUGCAGCGACGCCGCGUGAGGGAUGGAGGCCUUCGGGUUGUGAACCUCUUUCGCCAGUGAAGCAGGCCUGCCUCGUUUGUGGGUGGGUUGACGGUAGCUGGAUAAGAAGCGCCGGCUAACUACGUG